AUGUGUGAGUGUGUGGUGUCUGAGUGUGUCAUGUGGGUUGUGUGGUAUGUGUUUGGUGUGUGUGAUAUGUCUGAGUGUGUGGUGUGGUGGUGUGUAUGUGGUGUGUGUGGCAGGGACCUGGCCUGUGGACCACACAAGGAAGGGCACUCCGGUGUUGGGUACAAGGAGCUUUGGGCUCUAGGCACAAGGUCUCCUUCUAGUAUCAGCAGGAGGGAAGAGAGACACUCACUCAAACAUUUGUGGUUUGCCUACAGUCCUGUAGACCCUGGGCAGAGGACAUGGGGAUGGGGAGCCAGGCCUGGGUGGCCGUGGAUGGAUGGAGGCAGCCACAGAAACAAAUAAUUCAACACAAGCUUCCAACUGCUCUGGGAGCGUGGAGGGGGAGGGGGAGUCCAAGGUCCAUGGUGGAAAGGCGGGUAGACACACUGUGAGUGGAGGCUUAAAGAGAAGGCAGAGAUUCUCUGUGCAGGGGAAGGACAGGUGGGAUGUCUGCAGGGGGAAGGGGAGAAAGAAGACAUAGGUAAAUCACGGGGCAGAGAUGGCCCAGGCUAGGGGGGCCUUUAUCUCUGCCCUAUCACUGAAAGCCUGGGCUGAAUGGAGCACGGUCUUGCUUGCCUGCCUGCACAGUGCUCCUCCUUCCGCCUCAUCAGCUUCCAGUUAGGGCCCCGUCUGCCUGGGAAACAGGCUCUCCACUCAGUAGGUUGGGAAAUCCACCAGGCCGGAUCAGACCCCUGGGCGGAGCUUUCCAGACUCAACAGUCACUGGGCUCUUUCUCCUUGCCCCCGUGACCCGCAGGGGCUGGGAGCAUGUCGGCCGGUGAGUUAGUCUGGGACCCUAAAGCCUGGUGGGGAAUGGACUUGUUCUAGGACAGCCGGACAGCCGGAGCCACAGAGCAACCAGAGUCCUCUUGCCCGCAGGAUCGCUCCUUCCCACUGACUGCUUGUUUGCUCGCCCAAAUCCUGCCUACAGGCCCAGCCCAGUCCUGCCUGGCCAAAUGAGGAAGCUCUUCUGGAUCUAUUUAGAAGCGGAUUUGGGGGAAUUAGCUCCUCUAGUUCAGCAAAUACUAUAAUGGAGUGGCGGCAGAUAUUUGCAGUACUUGAGCCUUGGAGAAAAGCCAUUAACAGCCUUUUGGGGAGAAAUCAAUUCCACACAGUACUUAAGAGGGAAUUCAAGGUCAAUUACAGGGGUUUAAUCUGAACUUCAAAAAAAAAGACCAACAAACGGGCACCUGGGUGGCUCCGUGGGUUAAGCCUUUGUCUUCAGCUCAGGUCAUGAUCUUGAGGUCCUGGGAUCGAGCCCCACAUGGGGCCCUCUGCUCAGCGGGAAGCCUGCUUCCCCCCCUCUCUCUGCCUGACUCUCUGCCUACUUGUGAUCUCUGUCUGUCAAAUAAAUAAAUAAAAUCUUAAAAAAAAAAAAAUCCACACUCAUGGGGCGCCUGGGUGGCUCAGUGGGUUAAAGCCUCUGCCUUCGGCUCAGGUCAUGAUCCCAGUGUCCUGGGAUCGAGCCCCGCAUCGGGCUCUCUGCUCAGCAGGGAGUGUGCUUCCUCCUCUCUGCCUGCCUCUCUGCCUACUUGUAAUCUCUGUCAAAUAAAUAAAUAAAAUCUUUAAAAAAAAAAAUCCACACUCAUAAACUAUACCCUCUACUCCAUUUUUUACAUUCUUUUAAUGCAUAAGGGCAUCGACUCUGCGGGUCCCUGCUCAGCCUCAAGCCUCCUGUUGUCAUUUGUGUGACUAAAUCUCAGGGCAGCAAUCUGUGUAUCCCUAGGCCUGUCACCAGGCAGAGAAUGUGAAGCCCAGAGCAGGAGGAGAUGGUUCUGGCUGCAGAGGCUGUGUCAGCCCUGUUCUAGAAGGAGCAGGGGGUUUUGUAGGCCAGAGGAGAUCAACACCCUGAUGGUCCAGCUCUGGGCAGGCCCCACCUCCAGGCACUGUGAACUCCAACUCAUGUCCACUCAUAGGCCCUGUGUCCCCUCUGGGGGACAAUCCUCAGCGUCAUAACCAGAUUGGGGGGAGGGCGCUGGAAUAAGAUCUGUUCUCAUUCUCUGUCCUGCCACUUUUAAAAGAAGUAAUAAUAAGCUUUAAAAAAAUAAAAGUAACACAUGGCAAUUUUUUUAAAAUUAGGAGAAACAGAAAAGUAGAGAAGAAACUAAUAGUUACUCAUAGUUUGUCUCGCCACCCAGAAGUGGGCACUAUUCAUAUUUCGAUGCAUUUCUUCUAGGCUUUUUUCUAUGUGGAUGAAUGAAUGCGAUUUGAAAUAUUAUACACAAUUUUAUUCUUUCUCAUAUAUUAUUAAAUUAUUAAUAUGUCUCCAAGUCAGAAAAGUUUCUUGAAAAUGUGAUUUUAUAUUUUUUAGAUUUUAU
rnacentral:lncRNA from 1 species